AGUCUGAUGGAUCUGGGUGACUGGGCAAGUUCUUUAGCUUGUCAAACCUUCAUUUCUCUAAUUUAUAACAUAAGGACAGUACCUUCUUCCUGUCAAGGUUGAGGCAAGCAUUAGUGAGAAACGUCUCAAGGCCUGGUUCACAUUAAAGGUCAAAAAAGAGAGAAAACAUCACUGUUCUCUUCAGCAGAACUUUUGUCAGUGUGAUCGAGAAUUGUCUCAAGUGACAAGUGAGCUGACCAGGGAACCCUGGGUGGCAGGUACUAUUGGCACCAUUUUCCAGAUAAAGAAAAUGAAGUUCUAAGCAGUCAAAUGACAUGUCAAGAUCACCCAACUGAGACUACUGCCCUUCAUUGAUUGAUGUCCGGUGCCUGGAAAGCCAUGGUUUUAUGCAGUUUGUGGAUUUUUUAUUUUUUUUCUUUAUUUGAAAUGGGAAGGAUCACAUUACAUCGAACAGAAACUGUUUUACCUUGCUUGCAAGGAGGUGGAGGCCUCCUUGCCCCCAAGUGUGGUGCCACUUCCGGGUUCCUUGAGCACUUCCAGGUUAUCAGCCCAGCUCUCCUCCAGUUUCUGGGGCUGCUGAAGAAGCUGUUGGGGAAAGAUUCAUCAAUGAGGCACCAUUAUGAAAGCAGAGAGCAGCCCUCAGCAGACACCAAACCUCUUG
rnacentral:lncRNA from 1 species